rnacentral:rRNA from 1 species
UAACCUGCCUCAUACAGGGGGAUAACAGUUAGAAAUGACUGCUAAUACCGCAUAAGCGCACAGAGAUGCAUGUCUCGAUGUGAAAAGCUGAGGCGGUAUGAGAUGGAUCCGCGUCUGAUUAGCUGGUUGGCGGGGUAGAGGCCCACCAAGGCGACGAUCAGUAGCCGACCUGAGAGGGUGGCCGGCCACAUUGGGACUGAGACACGGCCCAAACUCCUACGGGAGGCAGCAG